rnacentral:rRNA from 1 species
CCUACGGGUGGCAGCAGUGAGGAAUAUUGGUCAAUGGGAGCGAUUCUGAACCAGCCAAGCCGCGUGAAGGAAGACGGCCCUAUGGGUUGUAAACCUCUUUUGUCGGAGAACAAAACCCGGGACGUGUCCCGGACUGCGUGUAUCCGACGAAAAAGGAUCGGCUAACUCCGUGCCAGCAGCCGCGGUAAUACGGAGGAUUCGAGCGUUAUCCGGAUUUAUUGGGUUUAAAGGGUGCGUAGGCGGUCCGUUAAGUCAGCGGUAAAAUCCCGGGGCUCAACCCUGUCGUGACGUUGAUACUGGCAGACUAGAGUUGGCGAGAGGUACGCGGAAUGCGCGGUGUAGCGGUGAAAUGCAUAGAGAUCGUGCAGAACUCCGAUUGCGAAGGCAGCGUACCGGCGCCAGACUGACGUUGAGGCACGAAAGCGUGGGGAGCGAACAGGAUUAGAUACCCUGGUAGUC